rnacentral:rRNA from 1 species
CCUACGGGUGGCAGCAGUGAGGAAUAUUGGUCAAUGGACGAGAGUCUGAACCAGCCAAGUAUCGUGAAGGCUGACUGCCCUAUGGGUUGUAAACUUCUUUUAUAUGGGAAUAAAAUGUUCCACGUGUGGGAUUUUGUAUGUACCAUAUGAAUAAGUAUCGGCUAACUCCGUGCCAGCAGCCGCGGUAAUACGGAGGAUCCGAGCGUUAUCCGGAUUUAUUGGGUUUAAAGGGAGCGUAGGUGGAUUGUUAAGUCAGUUGUGAAAGUUUGCGGCUCAACCGUAAAAUUGCAGUUGAAACUGGCAGUCUUGAGUACAGUAGAGGUGGGCGGAAUUCGUGGUGUAGCGGUGAAAUGCUUAGAUAUCACGAAGAACUCCGAUUGCGAAGGCAGUUCACUGGACUGCAACUGACACUGAGGCUCGAAAGUGUGGGUAUCAAACAGGAUUAGAUACCCGAGUAGUC